rnacentral:rRNA from 1 species
CCUACGGGUGGCAGCAGUGGGGAAUAUUGCACAAUGGGCGAAACCCUGAUGCAGCGACGCCGCGUGAGUGAAGAAGGAAUUCGUUAUGUAAAGCUCUAUCAGCAGGGAAGAAAAUGACGGUACCUGAGUAGGAAUCCACGGCUAACUACGUGCCAGCAGCCGCGGUACUACGUAGGGGGCAAGCGUUAUCCGGAUUUACUGGGUGUAAAGGGAGCGUAGACGGCAGUGCAAGUCUGGAGUGAAAGGCGGGGGCUCAACCCCCGGACUGCUCUGGAAACUGUACGGCUGGAGUGCAGGAGAGGUAAGUGGAAGUCCUAGUGUAGCGGUGAAAUGCGUAGAUAGUAGGAGGAACACCAGUGGCGAAGGCGGCUUACUGGACUGUAACUGACGUUGAGGCGCGAAAGCGUGGGGAGCAAACAGGAUUAGAUACCCCUGUAGUC